UAUUCCCUCUUCCUUUUCCAGAAAGCUCUAUAUAUAUAGACACAUCUGCAACUUGUGUCUCUUCCAACAAGCUCAUCAAGUUCUGCAAUUCAUUGGUUUCUUCUUGCAGCCAUGAGUGAUAUGAAAUAUGGCUACCCUUAUCCUCCUCAAGGUCCUUAUCAGGGGCCACCGCCAGUGGCGGCACCACCGCAAUAUUACGCUGCACAACCACCGCCAAGAAAUCAUCCAGAGCGUGGGUUCCUUGAGGGUUGCCUAGCAGCUUUGUGUUGCUGUUGCCUCUUGGACGAGUGCUGCUGCGACCCAACAAUUAUUUGCGAUUGUUGAUGCUAUGUAUUAUGCUGUGCCUAUAAGAAACAUCCGUACACAAUUACACUGACCUUUUAUUGUUGUUAUCAUAUAUAUUCAUAGGCUCUUUUAGUGGAUCCCAAAAUUUUACAUAUUCAUGUGUGCUAUAUAGCUCAACAACUGGUUUAUGUUAUUGUUAGCUGUAAGCUUUAUUACUUAUGUAUCUUUCAAUAUUAAUUAGAAUGUUGACCUGUGCA